AUGAACUUCUUCACUCUGUCCAUUCUUAACUUGAUGUAUUUUCACUACUUCACUCCGCAUGGCUCACUUUGCACUGACGCUUCCAUGGGGUGCACCACUGCUCCAGCAAAUGCUUUUUUUCAAUCGAAGUGUUGGAUAGCUUGGGUGGGUGCAGCUGUGGCAGUGCUGUGCUGUGCCCAUCAGCACUCAGUGCUGGCACAACAGCACCUUCCAGCACCACUCCGCCAGGCAGAGCACUGCUGUUUGGGUGUGCAGGGACUGGCUGCAUGCUGUGCUGUACUUGUGCACCAUCCUGUGUGUUUCAGAAACUUCUCAGUGCUCCUGUCCCAUGCUGUCAUUGUGCAGGAGUUGCCCUUUGGCUCACCAGGUGAUGUCCUGGCCCAGAGGCCAACAGAGCUGCUGAGGUUGGAGCUCAGCCCGGCUCCUGGAGGCCGAUGGCUCUCGGCGCUGCCUGCAGCUCAGCCUCAGUGCCACGCAGCCUUUUGGCAGCACAGGAAUCACGUCUGCCUUGAGUUGCAGUGUUUCCAAGUCAGCAGUGUACUGAAGCGUCCGCAGCUUUUCCUCUUUGCUCUGGGUGCAUCACAUGGAGGUGUGGGAUGGCAAACAGGAGCUGAUUCCCUGCCCCGGCAGCCCCAGCUGCUGCUGCAUUGCUGUGCGUCCUGGCAGCCCUUCUGCUCCCCGGGCCGCUUGCAGCAGCAGAGCCGUGCGGCCACUUGGGUGCAGCAUCGGGCGGCGUUCUUCGUGCCCUGCCGGGAGCUGCAAGGCCCGGCCCUGUGCGAGAUGCGUUCCUGUGUCACAGCUCAGCUGAGCGCACUGCGCUCCGGUGCAGGCAGUGCUGCUGGAAAAACCAAGGAGAGCCCCGAGGGGUGCGUGACCUCAUCCUUCAGCGAUAGCGAAGCGCCUCCAGCUCCUGCGCCCAGCCAGAAGUUCCCUUCCCAGCCCCAACCUGCCGGGUUCUUCCCCUCCUCUGCCCCGCGCUGUACGGGCAGCGCGAGCGGCGGCCGUUGGGGGUGA
rnacentral:lncRNA from 1 species